GACAGAGGGGGCAAGCGUUGCUCGGAAUCACUGGGCGUAAAGGGCGCGUAGGCGGGAUGGCAAGUCGGUCGUGAAAUCCCCAGGCUCAACCUGGGAACUGCGUCCGAUACUGGAUGGCUUGAAUCCGGGAGAGGGAUGCAGAAUUCCAGGUGUAGCGGUGAAAUGCGUAGAUAUCUGGAGGAAUACCGGUGGCGAAGGCGGCAUCCUGGACCGGCAUUGACGCUGAGGAGCGAAAGCCAGGGGAGCAAACGGG
rnacentral:rRNA from 1 species